rnacentral:rRNA from 1 species
AGUAACGCGUGAGGAACCUGCCUCAAAGAGGGGGACAACAGUUGGAAACGACUGCUAAUACCGCAUAAGCCCACAGCUCGGCAUCGAGCAGAGGGAAAAGGAGUGAUCCGCUUUGAGAUGGCCUCGCGUCCGAUUAGCUAGUUGGUGGGGUAAUGGCCCACCAAGGCGACGAUCGGUAGCCGGACUGAGAGGUUGAACGGCCACAUUGGGACUGAGACACGGCCCAG